CCCUACUGCUAUCGGGGUGGGACUAAGACAUGCGAGUUGAGCGUCUCUAAGCCAUGGUAGAGACGCAGCGUACGGCUCAGUAACACGUGGCUAACCUACCCUUAGGACGGGGACAACCCCGGGAAACUGGGACUAAUACCCGAUAGGUGAGGAGGCCUGGAAUGGUUCUUAGUCGAAAAGGCGUUGAAACCAUGCUUUUCGACGUCGCCUAAGGAUGGGGCCGCGUCCGAUCAGGUUGUUGGUGGGGUAACGGCUCACCAAGCCUUUAACCGGUACGGGCCGUGAGAGCGGGAGCCCGGAGAUGGGCACUGAGACAAGGGCCCAGGCCCUACGGGGCGCAGCAGUCGCGAAAACUCCGCAAUGCGCGAAAGCGUGACGGGGCUACCCCGAGUGCCGUCCGCUGAGGAUGGCUUUUCCCCGGUGUAAUGAGCCGGGGGAAUAAGGAGAGGGCAAGACUGGUGUCAGCCGCCGCGGUAAUACCAGCUCUCCGAGUGGUAGGGAUGAUUAUUGGGCUUAAAGCGUCCGUAGCCGGCUUAGCAAGUCUCCUGUUAAAUUCAGCGACCUAAUCGUUGAGCCGCGGGAGAUACUACUAGACUAGGAGGCGGGAGAGGUCGACGGUACUUCUGGGGUAGGGGUGAAAUCCUAUAAUCCCGGGAGGACCACCAGUGGCGAAGGCUGUUGACUAGAACGCGCUCGACGGUGAGGGACGAAAGCUGGGGGAGCGAACCGGAUUAGAUACCCGGGUAGUCCCAGCCGUAAACGAUGCGGGCUAGGUGUUGGGGUGGCUACGUGCCACUUCAGUGCCGCAGGGAAGCCAUUAAGCCCGCCGCCUGGGGAGUACGGCCGCAAGGCUGAAACUUAAAGGAAUUGGCGGGGGAGCACCACAAGGCGUGAAGCUUGCGGUUC
rnacentral:rRNA from 1 species